rnacentral:rRNA from 1 species
UACGGGGGGAGCAAGCGUUGUUCGGAUUUACUGGGCGUAAAGGGCGCGUAGGCGGCGCAACAAGUCACUUGUGAAAUCUCCGGGCUUAACCCGGAGCGGCCAAGUGAUACUGUCGUGCUAGAGUGCGGAAGGGGCUACUGGAAUUCUCGGUGUAGCGGUGAAAUGCGCAGAUAUCAGGAAGAACACCUAUGGCGAAGGCAGCUCUCUGGGACGGUACUGACGCUGAGACGCGAAAGCGUGGGGGAGCGAACAGG